CGUAGGGUGCGAGCGUUAAUCGGAAUUACUGGGCGUAAAGCGUGCGCAGGCGGUUUUGUAAGCCAGAUGUGAAAUCCCCGGGCUCAACCUGGGAAUGGCAUUUGGGACUGCAAGGCUGGAGUGCGGCAGAGGAGACUGGAAUUCCUGGUGUAGCAGUGAAAUGCGUAGAUAUCAGGAGGAAUACCGAUGGCGAAGGCAGGUCUCUGGGCUGACACUGACGCUCAUGCACGAAAGCGUGGGGAGCAAACAGGAUUAGAUACCCUGGUAGUCCACGCCCUAAACGAUGUCGACUGGUUGUUGGGGGUUUGACACUCUCAGUAACGAAGCUAACGCGUGAAGUCGACCGCCUGGGGAGUACGGCCGCAAGGUUA
rnacentral:rRNA from 1 species